rnacentral:lncRNA from 1 species
UUUGUGGGCUACUACGAUGGCGAUGAGUUUCGAGUGGCCGUGGCAGUACCGCUUCCCGCCCUUCUUUACGUGAGGCUCAGACCCUGAGAAGCUCAGUGUAGCUCCCUCCCCAUCCCCGGGGCCCAGGGCUCAUCCUUGAUGAUUCUCUUGGGGUUCCGGGGGAGAAAGGAGCCGCCGGCCGUCUUCCGUCCAACCAGCCCAUCACUUUCUUCCCUAAUGUGCUGCUGGGCUGGUGCUGCUUCCGUCGUUUUACACUCUCUAAUUCUGCGUCCCACUCCCUUCACCCGGCAGGUUACAGCCGAACGUGGACACCCGGCAGAAGCAGCUGGCCGCCUGGUGCUCUCUGGUUCUGUCCUUCUGCCGCCUGCACAAACAGUCCAGCAUGACGGUGAUGGAAGCCCAGGAGAGCCCGCUCUUCAACAACGUCAAGCUACAGCGGAAACUUCCUGUGGAGUCGAUUCAGAUUGUAUUAGAAGAACUGAGGAAGAAAGGGAACCUCGAGUGGUUGGAUAAGAAUAAGUCUAGCUUCCUGAUCAUGUGGCGGAGGCCAGAAGAAUGGGGGAAACUCAUUUAUCAAUGGGUUUCCAGGAGUGGCCAGAAUAACUCUGUGUUCACCCUGUAUGAACUGACCAGUGGGGAAGACACAGAGGAGGAAGCCCUGGCUGUUCUGAAACUUGCUGUGUAGACCAGGCAGGCCCUGCUGGCAACCAUCCUUCAGUGAUCUGCCUGCCUCUGCCUCCCAAGUUCUGGGAUGAAAGUGCCACCACCUCCCAACCAGUAUCGGAUUAAGGCACCUUCAGACUAACCAUUUCUGUCUCGGAAUUCCAUAGUGCAAAAGUUCUAAGAGAGCUCAAGAUUUUUGGGUGUCAGCUGAAGGUAUUGGGCCAACACCCCCAGCCCCACCCCCAGCCCAUUUAAAAACUUUGGGUUUGUGCCAGGCAAGGAUUUGUGUGGCCUUUGAUUUUUUGCAUAG